rnacentral:miRNA from 1 species
GACCGCUCGUUGAUUGGAAGGAAACCCUUUGGAUCAACGAGGAACAUUGCCUCCUUGAUUGGAAGGCAACCCUAAGGUAAUGUACCUUGUUGAUCAGAAGGGUUUCAUUCUGAUCAAUGGGGUA